rnacentral:rRNA from 1 species
GAGUAACACGUGGGCAACCUGCCCUUUGCAUCGGGACAGCCUCGGGAAACCGGGUUAAUACCGGAUACUCCAUCUUUCUCACAUGAAAAAGAUGGGAAAGUGUUUAGCGGCAAGGGAUGGGCCCGCGCCCUGUUAGCUUGUUGGUGGGGUAAAAGCCUACCAAGGCAAUGAUGGGUAGCCGGGUUGAGAGACCGACCGGCCAGAUUGGGACUGAGACACGGCCCAGACUCCUACGGGAGGCAGCAGUGGGGAAUCUUGCACAAUGGGCGAAAGCCUGAUGCAGCGACUGCCGCGUGCGGGAUGAAGGCCUUCGGGUUGUAAACCGCUUUCAGCAG